rnacentral:rRNA from 1 species
GAUGAACGCUGGCGGCGUGCCUAAUACAUGCAAGUCGAGCGAACAGACGAGAGUGCUUGCACUCUCUGACGUUAGCGGCGGACGGGUGAGUAACACGUGGGUAACCUACCUAUAAGACUGGGAUAACUUCGGGAAACCGGAGCUAAUACCGGAUAAUAUUUAGCUUCGCAUGAAGCAAUAGUGAAAGACGGUUCUGCUGUCACUUAUAGAUGGACCCGCGGUGUAUUAGCUAGUUGGUGAGGUAACGGCUCACCAAGGCAACGAUACAUAGCCGACCUGAGAGGGUGAUCGGCCACACUGGGACUGAGACACGGCCCAGACUCCUACGGGAGGCAGCAGUAGGGAAUCUUCCGCAAUGGACGAAAGUCUGACGGAGCAAUGCCGCGUGAGUGAAGAAGGUUUUCGGAUCGUAAAACUCUGUUGUAAGGGAAGGACAAGUACGUUAGUAACUGAACGUACCUUGACGGUACCUUACCAGAAAGCCACGGCUAACUACGUG